UUAGUAAAAAGAUAAAAAAAUAUUAAUUCUGCUUUCAAAAGCUCAUGCUUAUGACGACACUUUUGUUGCUGAACUUGUCGAAAAAACUUCCAUUGCUGCUUCUUGCUUCACUUCUGCCGAUAUGAUUAGCGUAACACUUUUGCAAUGAAUUUCAGAUUUCUUCGAUUGCUCUGCUAUUUCAACAAAAUUUUGAAAAAAAAAAAUUCUACCAUAGUUAGAAAAUGUAAACAAAACAACUUGAACCACAACGAAGUCACGCACAAAGUUUGAACAUCUAGCUUUGUAGCAAGUGUUGGCAGCUGUUGUAAACAAAACAAACAGCGUUGCCGAAUCGACGUAUGUAACUUCCGCUCAUCUCUAUGUAGAGGAUUUCUAAGUUUGACCAUUGAAAACAUAUUGAACAUCGGAAAUUCUAUCCAAUUGUUUGUGAGUCAUUUGUUAUAUCGAAUCAUUUAUUCCUACUUAUGGCUGGAUUAUCUACACACCAUUUUCAAAAUCUUGCAUCAAAAUACAGAAGAAGCUGUAGUUGUAAUGCUCACAUAAAUUUUUUUCAUCACUUUGAACGAUCAGUAUUUUUUUCCGCAGUACUCCGCGGGCCGCAUUCAAGAGCUUCAAGGGCCGCAUGCGGCCCGCGGGCCGCAGUUUGAGCACCACGUUAGCUGAACAGACGAAUGUUCUAUUAUUAUUUGUAGAGUCGUGACAGUGGCUGAGGCUCGUUUUGCAGGGUGACCAACCGCGCAUAUGCAUAGGCAAGACUAAAUCUUUGAGCUGCAAACAAAAUUGCUGCUAUGUACUAGACUCUUUCCCUAUCCGAACAUAAGAUGUCAUGGAAGUAAUGGAGUUCACGUGUGUUUAGGAUUUAAGUGUCCUCAACGCCACCAACGGAGACUGCCCCACACACAGUAGACGUUCGCUCGGUGCAUACGCUUUAACUGCUAUGCUUUGUAAGCGUAGAAUCAAUAGUUUAGUCAACAGAAGGCAACAAACGCAACUAUCCACGGAGUGAAUGUAAAUUACAUUCACCGCGUAGAGAGUUGCCUUCACAGCUCGCUCACGACUUUGGUAUGCGUGUGCGACCCCAAUAUUAUUCGACAAAUUUUAAGAUAAAACUACAAGGUUUAAUUCAUCCAUGAUUGUUUUUUAAUAGCAUGCUUCUGAACUGAGAUAAUAGCAAGCGAAUGUAACUCUUUGCAAAUGAAUGGUCCCAUCCCUGCUUGUGCAUUAAUAAAAAAAAAAUUGUCCAUCUUUCAAGUUAAUAAAUGGCAGUGAAUGUCUUAACAUCGAAAAAGAACUUCUUUCUAUGUUAGAUGAGUUUUAUUUCAGUUCUACAUAGCUAUAUUCAAACGAUGUUCAACACUUCACAAAUAUCGUGUGUUUGCGGGUACCAAAACACUAACGUUAUAAUAUGCUCAAGAUAUAAAUGGUCACCGACUCACUCGUGUUAGUUUUUUGUUAAACAAAAAUGUCAUAGACAAAUUUCCUCUUUUGUGUGGAACAGUCUAUCAAACUUAGCAUAAAUACAAUGUAUUCACUAUCAUCGUUAUUAUAG